UACGGAGGGUGCGAGCGUUAAUCGGAAUUACUGGGCGUAAAGGGUGUGUAGGUGGUUUAUUAAGUUAUCUGUGAAAUUCCUGGGCUCAACCUGGGGAGGUCAGAUAAGACUGAUGGACUUGAGUAUAGGAGAGGGUAGUGGAAUUUCCGGUGUAGCGGUGAAAUGCGUAGGGAUCGGAAGGAACACCAGUGGCGAAGGCGGCUACCUGGCCUAAUACUGACACUGAGGCACGAAAGCGUGGGGAGCAAACAGG
rnacentral:rRNA from 1 species